UAAAGUCAGCAAACUUUUUCAGAGUCGCACAACUUUCUAAGAUUUGAUCGUGUGUGGCUUUUACACAUGGACACAGCCACCUUCUGCCGGCAAAAACCCUGCAGCACACGCCACUGACACCUGCGGGCCGCCACACCGCCCCACCACCGCGACAAACCAGGUGGCCUGCACGUUCUCUGUGGACACUUGAAGGGGAGACUCACGUAUUGCUGCAAGGAUGGCAAGAGGGAGAAGCAACAGGGCUGGAGGAGGAAGUGGAGGAGGAGGAGGAGGAGGGAGGGAGAGGAGAGAAGGGGGAACAAGAGCAAGGCCGCCCCCACCUGCUCCUCCCGCCCCUCCAACAGCCGCCCCC